rnacentral:rRNA from 1 species
GACGUAGGGCGCGAGCGUUGUCCGGAUUUAUUGGGCGUAAAGAGCGUGUAGGCGGCCAGAUAGGUCCGUUGUGAAAACUGGAGGCUUAACCUCCAGCGGUCGAUGGAAACCAUCUGGCUAGAGUCCGGAAGAGGAGAGUGGAAUUCCUGGUGUAGCGGUGAAAUGCGCAGAUAUCAGGAAGAACACCCGUGGCGAAGGCGGCUCUCUGGGACGGUACUGACGCUGAGACGCGAAAGCGUGGGGAGCGAACAGG